UACGGACAUUCAGGAGAAAAAAGACGAAAGGUAUUAAGGUCUGGGUUUCCCUGUGCUAAGGCUCUUGCUCCUUUAUUCUCCACUUUCAUUGAAGAAUGAAGAAGUAACAGAAGUCCUUGAGGAAGGAGUCUUUUUAAAAGAGACAUCAAUCAGAGCAGAAUCUUGCCCAAAAGGAAGUGGGAAUGAACGAGAUCAGGAUUAGGUUAUGUGUAUUUAAGUUACUGCAGAAGACUAUUGCUAUGGUCUACUUCUCAAAGCAGCCUGUGAUGGCGCACACAGAGUCAAAAUGAGGCCAGGGAGAGACAUUACACUUUUACCAGUACAAGUGAUGGGAAACCAGUCUAUACCUGUAACAGAAGAGAAGUUCAGCACACAAAACUGCUUUGUACCCAUGACCGGUUUGUACCCAGGACCAGCACAGAAGUUCAGCACGCAUAGUUUGGUUUAAAAACGGUGGAACCCAGUCUAAGAUUUGCUGCCCCAUCAAAGGGGGAAACGUGGGCUCUGUUCUCUACCAAUCUACACUACAACGAUUACAGAAAACUGUGCAACUUAGGUCACUACCACCUCGGGCUUUUCGAAUGUCUGUACCUGCCCUGAUUCUUUCUGUUACUGUAAAUUACAUAGAAAUUGCUCAGGGCCUAUUAAAUGUAAUU